AAAAAGUAUAAGUUUUGCUUAAUGGCAAAAACGUAUUAAGCAAUACUUAUACUUUCGAUACGGAAUGGAUUGCAAAUCAUCAAAACAUGGCGCUAGAGGAUUCGGGUAUUCAAGUUAAGUGGCAGCGUGGGAUUUUCUUCACUUUUCUGUGAGAAAAUAUUUGUAGGAUUCAGCCGGCCGAAACGAACCCAACGAGGUACCGGGGGCAACCAUCUCAUCGGUCGAUUUUCAGCCAUCUUAACCUGUGUGAACCAGGAAAGGAUUCAUAAACUUUAACGUCAUGAAGGGAAAAAGCAUUACGGUGAGAAGAUCACGGGCUCAACCGAGGGGAAGACCCAUUUUUUCUAAGCCGGAAAACUCCGAAAAAGAUGGCAUAUAGUGUCGGCUUUUGUCGUCGUUUUGCGGAAUAUGCCGUCUUUUUUGGAUUUUCCGCUUGGAAAAACUUAUGCCGUUCCCCUCGGAUUCAACAUUCGCGUUUAAUUACGAAUUUCCAACAAUAAAUAUUCAUUAAUAUCUAAGCUGUUGAUUAUGUGUACUUUUAUUUCAAUCUUCUCUGGAAAAUGUAAACCAAUAUAACACUAUAAACAACAAUAAUAAA